GCAGUCGAGCGGCAAGUCGAGGAGUAAUCUAAGACCUAGAGCGGCGCACGGGUGCGUAACGCGUAUGCAACCUACCUCAUACAGGGGGAUAGCCCGGAGAAAUCUGGAUUAAUACCCCAUGGCACAUUACAAAGGCAUCUGAGUAAUGUUAAAGAUUCAUCGGUAUGAGAUGGGCAUGCGUCUGAUUAGCUAGUUGGCGGUGUAACGGACCACCAAGGCGACGAUCAGUAGGGGUUCUGAGAGGAAGGUCCCCCACACUGGCACUGAGAUACGGGCCAGACUCCUACGGGAGGCAGCAGUAGGGAAUAUUGGGCAAUGGACGAGAGUCUGACCCAGCCAUGCCGCGUGCAGGAAGACGGCGUUCUGCGUUGUAAACUGCUUUUAUCUGGGAAGAAAAGGCCCAUGCGUGGGACAUUGCCGGUACCAGAUGAAUAAGCACCGGCUAACUCCGUGCCAGCAGCCGCGGUAAUACGGAGGGUGCAAGCGUUGUCCGGAUUUAUUGGGUUUAAAGGGUGCGUAGGCGGCUGUUUAAGUCAGUGGUGAAAGACUCCGGCUCAACCGGAGCAGUGCCAUUGAUACUGGACAGCUUGAGUGUUGGAGGGGUACAUGGAAUUGAUGGUGUAGCGGUGAAAUGCAUAGAUACCAUCAGGAACACCGA
rnacentral:rRNA from 1 species